rnacentral:rRNA from 1 species
AGCAGUAGGGAAUCUUCCGCAAUGGACGAAAGUCUGACGGAGCACGCCGCGUGAGUGAUGAAGGCUUUCGGGUCGUAAAACUCUGUUGUUAGGGAAGAACAAGUGCUAGUUGAAUAAGCUGGCACCUUGACGGUACCUAACCAGAAAGCCACGGCUAACUACGUGCCAGCAGCCGCGGUAAUACGUAGGUGGCAAGCGUUAUCCGGAAUUAUUGGGCGUAAAGCGCGCGCAGGUGGUUUCUUAAGUCUGAUGUGAAAGCCCACGGCUCAACCGUGGAGGGUCAUUGGAAACUGGGAGACUUGAGUGCAGAAGAGGAAAGUGGAAUUCCAUGUGUAGCGGUGAAAUGCGUAGAGAUAUGGAGGAACACCAGUGGCGAAGGCGACUUUCUGGUCUGUAACUGACACUGAGGCGCGAAAGCGUGGGGAGCAAACAGGAUUAGAUACCCUGGUAGUCCACGCCGUAAACGAUGAGUGCUAAGUGUUAGAGGGUUUCCGCCCUUUAGUGCUGAAGUUAACGCAUUAAGCACUCCGCCUGGGGAGUACGGCCGCAA